rnacentral:rRNA from 1 species
UUUGAAUAUAUCUCUGCCUGAGCUAACGCGUUAAGUGCCCCGCCUGGGGAGUACGGCCGCAGGGCUAAAACUCAAAAGAAUUGACCGGGGCUCGCACAAGCGGUGGAGCAUGUGGCUUAAUUCGCUGCAACACGAAGAACCUUACCGGGGCUCGACAUGACAGAAGUAGGAGUCCGAAAGGACAACCAACGGUAUCCAGUCCGUAGCUGUCACAGGUGUUGCAUGGCGUCGUCAGCUCGUGUCGUGAGACGUUG